rnacentral:rRNA from 1 species
GACGAACCGUGCAAACGUUGUUCGGAAUCACUGGGCUUAAAGGGCGCGUAGGCGGGCGAGCAAGUCCGGGGUGAAAUCUUUCGGCUUAACCGGAAAAGUGCCUUGGAUACUGCUUGUCUGGAGGAAGGUAGGGGCAGGUGGAACUUCUGGUGGAGCGGUGAAAUGCGUUGAUAUCAGAAGGAACGCCGGUGGCGAAAGCGACCUGCUGGACCUUUUCUGACGCUGAGGCGCGAAAAGCUAGGGGAGCAAACGGG